GCUAUGGUCGAAUUCCCCUUUAAUAUGAUGUGUGUAGUGAAUGGUUUGAUGCAACAAUGAGUACUACUCUGUAGCUAAACUAAGAGGCUGAUUGACCGGACCUGAAGUUCCGUCCCCUCCAGCAGUCUGUGGCCAGACACAGCCUCAUCACUGGGCCGUUGUAACAAGUCCUCAUCCAGAUUACUGAUGCAAAGCCUGUCAACCACACCUCUGUGUGAACACCAUGCCUCAAGGCCCUGUGAUCAGUCACUUCCAGGCCAGGGCUCCAGCAAAUAUGGUGGCUGUGUAACCAGACCAGCCCAAAGCAGCUUGGCUUGGCUGGAUCUGGCUUUUGUGGUGUGAAUCAGGCAUGACAGGACAGAUCCUCACCCCAUCCCUCAUCUCUGUACCUCCAGGUGCUUGACCAGCCAGUUGGCCAGCUCAAAUGUUCGGUUGGUGCAGGUCACUUCCUGCUGGCACUGGACCUUCUCAGCAGCAGCCUUUUCAUACUGAGCUGUGAGGCUCUUGAGGUCCAAUCCCUGUUAUAAGCACCGCAGAGUCACAGUGAUGUGGCCAAACAUUUUGGAAUCACCACUGACACACUUGGUUACAUUCUGAUUGUCAUAUGGUCAUAUCUGGACCUGGGAACUUAAACCCAGAUGGGUGAUUUAUAUCGACGUAACACUUCUUGCGUCCAGUUUCUUUCUAACUGCCUGCAGUUUUGCUGUUGCCCACUCCAGCUCACUGUUAGGCUGAGAAAAAGCUUGUCUUUGGUGCUACCUCACAAUAAACCUAGCAAUGAAACAAAACCAUAAAAAGUUACAGUGUUCCUUGGAAGGGUAAAAUGAUUCUCUGGCGGUAGCCUUGUCUAACGGUUGCUUUGUGAGAAAAAAAUAUCUUGGCAACGAACAGGUACUCAAGAAAGAAAAUCUCCUCCAACGUUGCCAGCAAUGCCAAACGGGCAUGGAAGAGGUGUAGAUUGGGACAUCACAUCCUGAACCAUGCCCUGCAAAGCCAUUUGGCUUCUUUGCACAAUGACCACACAAAAACAGAAAGCUAGUGGAAUCAGCUUGUGAGGACGCAUUGCCUCAACAACGACUUCAGUUUAGCUUCCAGGUGCCGACCUUAAGGUCAAUGUGUCCGACGCGAUUGAGAGAGUAAAUUAAGUUUGAUGAGAUUUUCUUUGUAUCUAUAUACUGUAUUAAUGAAUACAUGUUGUAAUGAACCAUUUGUGAAUUAAGUAGGCAGCAUAUUACACCUGUAGAAAAGCAAAACACUUUGUCCAACAAAAAUGUAUGUUUUUUGCC